rnacentral:rRNA from 1 species
GAUGAACGCUCGCUCCAGGCUUAACACAUGCAAGUCGAGGGGAAACGGCAUUAAGUGCUUGCACUUUUUGGACGUCGACCGGCGCACGGGUGAGUAACGCGUAUCCAACCUUCCCAUGACUAAGGGAUAACCUGCCGAAAGGCAGACUAAUACCUUAUGGUCUUCACUGACGGCAUCAGAUGUGAAGUAAAGAUUUAUCGGUUAUGGAUGGGGAUGCGUCUGAUUAGCUUGUUGGCGGGGUAACGGCCCACCAAGGCAACGAUCAGUAGGGGUUCUGAGAGGAAGGUCCCCCACAUUGGAACUGAGACACGGUCCAAACUCCUACGGGAGGCAGCAGUGAGGAAUAUUGGUCAAUGGGCGAGAGCCUGAACCAGCCAAGUAGCGUGCAGGAUGACGGCCCUAUGGGUUGUAAACUGCUUUUGUAUGGGGAUAAAGUCAAUCACGUGUGAUUGUUUGCAGGUACCAUACGAAUAAGGACCGGCUAAUUCCGUG